rnacentral:rRNA from 1 species
GUAGGUGGCAAGCGUUGUCCGGAAUUAUUGGGCGUAAAGCGCGCGCAGGCGGUUCUUUAAGUCUGAUGUGAAAGCCCACGGCUCAACCGUGGAGGGUCAUUGGAAACUGGAGAACUUGAGUACAGAAGAGGAAAGCGGAAUUCCACGUGUAGCGGUGAAAUGCGUAGAGAUGUGGAGGAACACCAGUGGCGAAGGCGGCUUUCUGGUCUGUAACUGACGCUGAGGCGCGAAAGCGUGGGGAGCAAACAGGGAUUAGAUACCCUGGUAGUCCACGCCGUAAACGAUGAGUGCUAAGUGUUAGGGGGGUUUUCGCCCCCUUAGUGCUGCAGCUAACGCAUUAAGCACUCCGCCUGGGGAGUACGGCCGCAAGGCUG